rnacentral:lncRNA from 1 species
CAGUAGCGGUUUAUUUACACCAAGACACACACCUCUUCACCUUGGCCGGAGGCCACACAGACCUGGGGAAAUGUUUUGCCAACGUACUCGCAAUAGUUCCCAUGGUUUCCUUUGCUCCCAGCGGUUGCGCGGGCUGGGUUUUUGGAGCAAAGGCAACGGAUACUGCUGAGGCUCCUGAGAAUGUCCCGUUUUCGAGGCUGCAGUAGCUCCGGUGUCCGGUUCUGCAGUGCCGAGAGGGAGGCCUCGGGCUCCGGGCGGGGGAAUGUGUUGCAGUUUGUCCAAGAGCCCCAAGCCCAGCAAAGCCGCCCGUUCCCCGCUGGGGCGCAACUCUCACUGGAACUCUUGUUCUCUGACUGGGGAAUGGAAUGGGCUCAGCCAAGGCUCCCGAAACCAGCCCUGCCGCUCCCAGUUGUGGUCGCAUUCUCAAGAGCGGCUGACUGCGCCGUGGACCAUCACUUUCGCUUCUGCCUGCUCUUGCGCCUAUUGCGGCAACUACUCACGCUCCUACGGGACGAGGAGAGGGAGGUGAAUCCGUGGCAGAGAAAAAUAGUAGUCUAGUCAUUCAAGUGAAAGGUCCAAGAAAGGAAGAAAGAAAAAUUUAUCAAAAAGAAAACACAAGAAGUAUUCUGAAGAUAGCGACAGUGACUCUGAUUCUGAAACAGACUCCAGUGAUGAAGACACAAAAAUGAGAGCAAAGACAGCUAAGAAAAAGGAAAAGAAAUGCAGAUGGCCAGAUUUUUUCCUUUAAUUUUUAUUAUGGAAAAGGUCAAAUGUGUAUAAACAUACAUAGAAUGGUAUAAUGAUCCCUCAGGCACGUAGCACCCAGCUUGAACAAUUAACAACUUGUGGGAAAUUGCCAUUGCCCCCUAAUUAAUUUGAAACCAAUCCCAGGUAUAAUGUCAUGAAAACUCACUCAGUAUCAUGACAACAGCAUGGGGGAAACCCAUCCAUCCAAUUACCUCCCACCAGACCCCUCCCUCCACAUGUGGGGAUUAUAAUACAAGAUGAGAUUUGGGUGGGGACAGAGCCAAACCAUAUCAGAUACACGUUCUUUUUCUAAAAACAUAACUACAAUACCAUUAUCAUGCCUAAAAAAAUUAACAAUAACUCCUCAACUCUCAUCACACUCCAUUUUUAAAUUUUUGUUGUUUUCUAGCCUAGCAGUUUCACAUGAGGAAGACAGCAUAAAGAAAGCCAAGGUCUGACUGCUUCUUUUUGAUGAUCAAUUAAUCUAGAAUAUUAAUCAGGGAACUACCUCCUCCCUCUUGCUUCUAGCAGCACUAAACAAAAGGUUCCCUUUUUGUGUUUUUAUCAUCAGGAACCAGGGUCCUUUCAAGGAGGUUGAAUGAGACAAAAUACAUUUGAAUGCAUGAUUGUCAGCUUCUGAGCUGGGGAAUAUGCAACAAUAUGCCUUCUGGGCUGGGGAUGGGUGAGCAAAGGGAGAACUGCCUCAUUCUGGCUUUGGUAGAGUCUCCUCUUGUGUUUCAUUUGAUGCAGAGGAACUUUGGGCCAGAAUGAUUCCUAUUUCCCUAUGUCCUCCACAGAAAGGGAGGAUAGUGAACAGAAUUUGCAAUAUACUAGAUAGAUGUUUGGCUGCCACCUUCCCAUAAAGCCCUAUGAGUAGCUUCUUCGGAAGAUUCCUUUAGACUACAGGGUUGUGUCUAAGCUCUUCAGCAUAAAUGGAGAUGGGCCCUGUCUUGAAACACACUGUUCUUUUACUAGGGACUUUCCCCACCCCCAUUUUGCA